GUCUACAGCCUUACCACCCUGAAUGCAUUUGAUCUCAUCUGAUCUUAGAAGCUAAGCAGGGUUGGGCCUGGUUAGUACUUGGAUGGGAGAAGAGAAACACCUAAUUUACCGGAAGAGAAAACAGGAAAAACU
ensembl:rRNA 5S_rRNA 5S ribosomal RNA